rnacentral:rRNA from 1 species
GCGGAGGAAAAGAAACCAACAGGGAUUGCCUCAGUAACGGCGAGUGAAGCGGCAACAGCUCAAAUUUGAAAUCUGGCCCGUUUCGGGUCCGAGUUGUAAUUUGUAGAGGAUGUUUUGGGUACCGCCGCGGGUUAAUUUUCUUGGAACAGAGAGCCAAAGAGGGUGAGAGUCCCGUCUUGGCCCGCGGUAGGGCUCGUGUAAAACUCCUUCGACGAGUCGACUAGUUUGGGAAUGCUGGUCAAAAUGGGUGGUAAAUUUCAUCUAAAGCUAAAUAUUGGCCAGAGACCGAUAGCGCACAAGUAGAGUGAUCGAAAGAUGAAAAGCACUUUGAAAAGAGAGUUAAACAGUAUGUGAAAUUGUUGAAAGGGAAGCGCAGGCAACCAGACUCGUGCGCGGGGUUCCCCCUUGCUUCUGCUUGGGUUACUUCCCCGUGUCCGGGCCAUCAUCAGUUUUGGGGACCGGUCAAAGACCCCGGGAAUGUAUCCUCCCCUUCGGGAGAGGACUUAUAGCCCGGGGUGUCAUGCGGCCACCUGGGACCGAGGAACGCGCUUCGGCGAGGAUGAUGGCGUAAUGGUUGUCUGCGACCCGUCUUGAAACACGGACCAAGGAGUCUAACAUCUAUGCGAGUGUUCGGGUGUCAAACCCUGGCGCGGAAUGAAAGUGAACGGAGGUAGGAAGGCGUACGCCUGCACUAUCGACCGAUCCUGAUGUCUUCGGAUGGAUUUGAGUAAGAGCAUAGCUGUUGGGACCCGAAAGAUGGUGAACUAUGCGUGAAUAGGGUGAAGCCAGAGGAAACUCUGGUGGAGGCUCGCAGCGGUUCUGACGUGCAAAUCGAUCGUCAAAUUUGCGUAUAGGG